rnacentral:tRNA from 4 species
GGGCCCGUAGCUCAGUUUGGGAGAGCGCUAGAAUCGCACUCUAGAGGUCGUCGGUUCGAUCCCGAUCGGGUCCA